rnacentral:rRNA from 1 species
AUGAUAUCGAAGAUUGUCAACAAGUUCAUUCACCAGCUUGGCAGUGGCGGGCGUAAUGGAAGAUUCAAGGACUUCUUUCGCAAGACUGCUCGCCGUCGAAAGACACUUAGGUUUCGGCGUGGAAUCACCAACCAAAUUGACGAUCUGAAGGCUCGCGUUAAGCAACUGAAAGAGCUGAAGAGCAGUUACAAGCUGGACGAUAUUGCCUGUAGCUCCUCCUCUGACCAUGCAGCCAUGGACCAUCCUCGGCUGUCUUCUCUUUUUGCGGAGGAAGCACACCCUGUGGGCAUUGACGGUCCGAGAGGCGAUCUUGCCAAGUGGAUGAUGGAAGGAGACAGGUCGACCAAGCGUCAUCGCAGGGCGUUGUCCAUUGUUGGUUUUGGUGGAUUGGGGAAAACAACUCUAGCGCAUGAGGUCUAUCGCAAGAUUCAGGGGCAUUAUCAUUGUCAGGCCUUUGUAUCAGUCUCACAAAAGCCGGAUAUAAAGAGGAUUAUCUAG